rnacentral:rRNA from 1 species
UACAGAGGGUGCAAGCGUUAAUCGGAAUUACUGGGCGUAAAGGGCGCGUAGGCGGUGGGAUGUGUGUGAUGUGAAAGCCCUGGGCUUAACCUGGGAAGUGCAUCGCAAACUAUCUGACUGGAGUAUAUGAGAGGGUGGCGGAAUUUCCGGUGUAGCGGUGAAAUGCGUAGAGAUCUGGAAGAACACCAAAGGCGAAGGCAGCAUUCUGGCUCGGACCUGACGCUCAUGUGCGAAAGCUAGGGGAGCGAACGGG